GACGAACGCUGGCGGCGUGCUUAACACAUGCAAGUCGAACGGAAAGGCCCUGCUUGCAGGGUACUCGAGUGGCGAACGGGUGAGUAACACGUGGGUGAUCUGCCCUGCACUUCGGGAUAAGCUUGGGAAACUGGGUCUAAUACCGGAUAGGAGCCAUCUUUAGUGUGGUGGUUGGAAAGUUUUUUCGGUGUAGGAUGAGCUCGCGGCCUAUCAGCUUGUUGGUGGGGUAAUGGCCUACCAAGGCGGCGACGGGUAGCCGGCCUGAGAGGGUGUACGGCCACAUUGGGACUGAGAUACGGCCCAGACUCCUACGGGAGGCAGCAGUGGGGAAGAUUGCACAAUGGGCGCAAGCCUGAUGCAGCGACGCCGCGUGGGGGAUGAAGGCCUUCGGGUUGUAAACUCCUUUCGCUAGGGACGAAGCUUUGUUGUGACGGUACCUAGAGAAGAAGCACCGGCUAACUACGUG
rnacentral:rRNA from 1 species